rnacentral:sRNA from 2 species
GGCUGACAGAAAUAACGAGCAGUUGCAGUGGCUGAUAUUACUUCCAGUGCGCCCAGACCUCUCCACAAACACUAAUACCUCCCAUCGCCCUUGUGAAAUGCAAUAUUUCUUGACUGAACUUCUCUACGCAUUACGGUUAAACAAGUCUGCUGGUGAACCGCAAGAAAGGGAUCAUAUAUGGGCUGUGAAGAAAGUUCACUCCGAGAACAUCUUCAACUAGCCAACGCGGAGAUGUCUUGAUCUUCCCACCUUUGCGUCAAUUUCAAACAGUUGGAAAUACAUGGCCGGAAUACAGGGUGCGACUUCACUGUUUCAGUAACUUACCUCCACCUCCACUCAAGGUGUAAAAUUUCAUGUCAGCAAGACCUCGGUCUUUGCCUGUUCUUAAAUACUCAGGCAUGAUGAUUAAGCCCUAAAUGAAGAAAUCUACAGUUUAGCCACCUACAGAGGCCAAGGAAUUGACGAAACGGGCAACUUCGAAAUCUUGACAAAGAGUAACUUCUGACCUGGAGGGGUAAAGUAUCCGAAGUCGACCACGAUCUCAUUGCGAUUUUGCAGUGUCUCCUGCGUAGCAGCCGGGAUGGUGCGUAAGCUCAACUGAGUUCAAGGUUGUUCGAGCUUUCAUUCUGGCUAAACAACAUCGAUGUCAGGCUGGGGGGCAUCAAGGGGAAUCACGGCAAAGGCUCAAAAACAUCACUUUGUUCACACCGUCCACAUCUGUGACUCAUAUUUACGAAUCUCCUUGCACCAGCUAGAAUGAGCUCAAGAGCCACGAGGGACUAGAUCGCGCCUCCAUCAAGCUUACGGAGUUCAUUUGGCAAAUGGGCGCUACUGGAAGCUCAGCCGAAUUGAAUGGUUUACGGAAUAUAAGUUUGAACAUGGUUCUAGCGAUACAACUCCUUGAUCUUUUUAUUUUUAUUAUCUAUGGAUCUCUUACAGAUCUGUACAGUUAUGAAUGAAAAAUCAGUUGCUGGCCUAUUUCUUCCAGAGACG